rnacentral:rRNA from 1 species
UGGGGAAUAUUGGACAAUGGGGGAAACCCUGAUCCAGCCAUCCCGCGUGUGCGAUGAAGGCCUUCGGGUUGUAAAGCACUUUUGGCAGGAAAGAAACGUCAUGGGUUAAUACCCCGUGAAACUGACGGUACCUGCAGAAUAAGCACCGGCUAACUACGUGCCAGCAGCCGCGGUAAUACGUAGGGUGCAAGCGUUAAUCGGAAUUACUGGGCGUAAAGCGUGCGCAGGCGGUUCGGAAAGAAAGAUGUGAAAUCCCAGAGCUCAACUUUGGAACUGCAUUUUUAACUACCGGGCUAGAGUGUGUCAGAGGAAGGUGGAAUUCCGCGUGUAGCAGUGAAAUGCGUAGAUAUGCGGAGGAACACCGAUGGCGAAGGCAGCCUCCGGGGAUAACACUGACGCUCAUGCACGAAAGCGUGGGGAGCAAACAGG